GCUUGGUAAAGGCCUCGGUCUCAGACCGGCUGAGCGCUGAGAGGAGAGGGGACCUCAGGCAAGACUCCGGGCCCGCAUGAUUGGCUGGGGAAGCUGCUUUAAUGGCUGGGACUACUUGGCAGCGGGCUCGCGCGGCAGGGCAGGACCUUGGAGACCACGCGGUUCAACUUCCAGUUUGCAGAUGUGGAAACGGAAGCCCAGAGAGGGUAUGCAACCGGUGCAAGGUUACACAGCUGGUUAGUGGCCUGUUCGGGACUGGACUCCCGCGCUCCGGACUGCCCUUGGCCUUGCACUCCGCUUCCCCCUUCGAGGAGGAAAAGGGAUAGGGAGAAUGUUUGAAGAAGGAUGUAAGGGCCAGGACCCUGCAGCACUGGCACAACCAAACCUCUAUGAACGAUUUUCUGAACUCAGGAAACUACUGGAGGAUGUGGUGCACCAAAACGAGAAAAUAAACUAAGAAACAGGAAGACAUGUGGUCCUAGAAACAGGAUAUUCAACAUAGGUGAGAAAUGAAGAGAAUCCCCAAGGUGAUGACGAAGGGAAAUCCUAGGGUGACAGACGGCCUGGCUCAGAGAGUGAUCAGUCAGGAUUGGGGCAGGAGGACAGAAGGCACCAGAAUGGAUGUCCCCAAGAAUUAAAUGAGAUGAAUAGAGGAAAAAUGUACACUUUUGGUGAUAGUGGAGAAUAAAUUCAUUAUAGGGACAUGGAAAACUAAACAAAUAAAAACCAAUUUGUUAUUAAUAAUUCUAAAAAAUUGAUUU